UUAUACUUUAAUUGAAAUUUCAAACAAAAUAACAAUUUUCUCUUUCUCUCUUAUCCUUUUUUUUUUCUUUCUCUCUGACGUUUUAUUCCUCUUCUUCUUUCUUUUCAUCUUCCUCUUCCGCUUCUCUGUUCUUUCUUUCUCAAUUUCUGAAUCUUCACAAUCAAAACGUUCAUCUAAACGAAAGGCCAUGGUACUGCAAAAGAGGAUUAAGCAAGAGUGGGAUCUCGCGAUCGGAGGGGGCUUGGUUGUUGGUUGAAGGUGCUUCAACAAAAUGACG